rnacentral:rRNA from 1 species
UACGAAGGGGGCUAGCGUUGCUCGGAAUUACUGGGCGUAAAGGGAGCGUAGGCGGAUAGUUUAGUCAGAGGUGAAAGCCCAGGGCUCAACCUUGGAAUUGCCUUUGAUACUGGCUAUCUUGAGUAUGGGAGAGGUAUGUGGAACUCCGAGUGUAGAGGUGAAAUUCGUAGAUAUUCGGAAGAACACCAGUGGCGAAGGCGACAUACUGGCCCAUUACUGACGCUGAGGCUCGAAAGCGUGGGGAGCAAACAGG